AGUGAACCAGUACCGUGAGGGAAAGGCGAAAAGAACCCCGGCGAGGGGAGUGAAAAAGAACCUGAAACCGUGUACGUACAAGCAGUGGGAGCCCCACCACUAAGCCAGUGGUGAACUCCACAUACGCAUCCUUUGCUGAGGAGACGGUUAACGGAGCGAAAGCGACGUUCAACCUCAAAAGAAGCAGAGGGGGCUUAGUGGUGGGGUGACUGCGUACCUUUUGUAUAAUGGGUCAGCGACUUAUAUUCUGUAGCAAGGUUAACUGUAUAGGGGAGCCGGAGGGAAACCGAGUCUUAACCGGGCGUUAAGUUGCAGGGUAUAGACCCGAAACCCGGUGAUCUAGCCAUGGGCAGGUUGAAGGUUGGGUAACACUAACUGGAGGACCGAACCGACUAAUGUUGAAAAAUUAGCGGAUGACCUGUGGCUGGGGGUGAAAGGCCAAUCAAACCGGGAGAUAGCUGGUUCUCCCCGAAAGCUAUUUAGGUUGCGCCUCGUGAAUUCAUCUCCGGGGGUAGAGCACUGUUUCGGCUAGGGGGCCAUCCCGGCUUACCAACCCGAUGCAAACUGCGAAUACCGGAGAAUG
rnacentral:rRNA from 1 species